UGAUGACAAAUCUCCGGAAUCUCUGUAUUACUUUUGAUGAAACAUUGAACCCUUUGUCUGAUGAUUGCUUUUUAAAAUC